GACUCAGCUGAUUAAUCUGCUUCUCUGAAUGUGUUUCUACAGAAAUUUAGAAAGAGCUGGCAACAGUGAUGCCAUCUUAUGAGCCUUAAGGACAGCAGGUCAUUACAGCCCCUGAAAAGGGCCACAGUA
ensembl:snoRNA